CAGCGGCCAGCAACCAGCCGGUUCAACGAGUUUUUCUUCGAUUGCUUGCGGCCGGUCGCGCUCGCUCCCACCGCUCACAGCCGGUGAAUGUGUCAGUGGAAUUGAGUUGAUCGGUCUGUGUUGUCUGCCGCGGCGAUUUAGUUCAGUUUGAGACACUUGGUGAGUUGGAUGUGCGCGCGUAUGAAAUUCACGUCACGUCCGUGACAACACAACAGUCAACCAAACUUACACGGGUGCGGGCUAAAUGCAUUGAAGCGGAUGUUUUUGUGUCGCUCUAAACAACAACUAAAACGCCAAUAAAUAUGAAAAUGAGACUUGCCUUUAAUACUGUGCGCGCCCACCGUUGCAUUUCGUUUUGUGAAAGAAAUUUCUUCUAAUUUCUGUUUUAUAGAUCUUUCAGCAACGUUUUCGUAAAUAAGAUACUCAAAAAAACGGCGACUAAUCUCUAAUAAUAAUGGCAUUAAAACGUCUAUAGCCCACAGUGAUAGGUAAAAGAUCAGCAUACAAGUACAAAAAAUAAUAAAAAAAUUACAAAUAAAAAAAUCUGAAAUUUCGUGAGGAAAUUUGUGAAAUAAAUCGAUAAAAAAUACUCCAGCUACUUUUACCAGCUUUUUUUUUAAUAUAAUAUAAUACUUUUGUGUUGGUGUGUGAGCAGCGAAAGAUACCUGCCAAGUGCAAGUGUACUUGAAAAAAUUGUGAAGGAACGCAUGCGCAACCCCCAAAUGGCUGCGCUGCGCUUCUGCUGUUGCAAGGGUUAAUUGAAACAUUAUCAAACGUAGCAGAAAAACAGUGAAAUAUUUUGCAGUUAAAGUGCCACAAAUCUAUAGCAAAAGUAUAGCAGGCUUGCAAAACAACGCUGCAGCGUAAACAGGGACUUGAAAAAAACUUAUUAAGGAUCGUACGAUUCGAACAGCCGGUUGUUAAUCUUAGCCAAAAGUAAAUCAUCUAGUAUGUGUUCCCAGCAUUUCUGCAGCUAAAACGUGUACUCACACUGUGCAACAGUAACAACAACAGCGAUCGAUCGUUUUUAGAAAAUAAUACCAAGCCUUAUACAUCCGGUUUUAGAGCACCAGUUUGGCGUUGGGCCAUGGCGAAUCACGCAACAUUCUCAUCUGCUGCAACAUCAGGAAUAACUGGCUCUUGGCAGCUGUCAUUCUUGUUGAGUUUACUUAUAUGUAAUCAACUAAAGCUAUCCGCGGCAUCACAAUCCUCGUCACUGGGUGUACACAUUGUGCGUUCUCCCGAAUCAGCAGUGGCGCCCAAAGGUGAUGAGGUUGUUUUUGAGUGCGAAUUAAAUUUGGCUCCCGACCGUUUGGAAUGGCGGUUCCGUCACACCAGCGCACGUGCCACGGACGCUAUGAACUACAAUUAUCUUCAUGGCGGCGAGGAUGGACACAAUAUUGUAAAUGAAAACCUGACAUCUCGUUUGCGUGUAUUUGUCUCGUCCGAAACUUUGGGUGACUACCAAUGUGUGGCCUGGGUCGGAUCGGCCGCAAUUGCUUCCACACCCGCACGGCUGACACUCGUAUCCAUAAGCAUCGACAACUCGAACGGUUAUAGUCGCAAUGCAAUACGCUGGAGCGUAGCGCCAAAGAAUUGCAUAUUAAUACGUUGCGGCACAGUGAGUUCGAAUCCGCCAGCGGUGUGGAGCUUCUUCCGCAACGGCGAGAAAGUGCCACAGACCGAGGUGUUGCCCUCAGCAAAUGGAGCGCUCAUACUUAACACAGUGUCAUCAAAAGAUUCCGGUAACUACACUUGCUCGGCAAUGAAUGCCAUCACUGGCGUGGAGGUGAGAUUGCCACAACGUAUAGACUUGCGCGUCGAUUAUAUUGAUCGCACGCCGCCCUACUUCCUUAAUGUGCCAGUGUCACAAGUGACGGCGCGUCCGGGCGAAACAGCCGUACUCGAAUGCCCAGGCGUCGGUUCGCCACCACCGGAGGCCGUUUGGAGCAGCCCGAAUGUAAUUAACAUCUACAACAACCGAACAAAAGUGUUGCCGUACGGUUUGCAGAUAUCUGAUGUGAUGCCCGAGGAUCAGGGUUCAUAUGUGUGUCGCUUAGACAAUGGUAUUGCGCCUGCUUUGGUGCAAAUUAUAAAAUUUAUUGUCUUGGAAGCGCCACAAAUACUGCGUGGUCCAGCAAAGACAAGAACAAAUGAAGGCGAUCAACUGGAAUUGGAGUGCUCGGCAGCCGGCAAUCCUUUUCCCCAGAUCUAUUGGUUAAUUAAUGGUGAAGACACUUCUUUGGAUAACGAGACCUUUCAUGAAGACCGUCGUUUGGUUAUCCGGCAUGUACAGAAGCGCCAUGCGGGCAUCGUGCAGUGUUUUGCAAAGAACGAAGUGGGCGAGGUAAGCGACGGCAGUUACUUGGAAGUGAACCCGAAGCAAAUACAGGGCGAAGACUCAGCUCCUCUAGGCUCCGUGCCAAUACGCAUGCCUUAUGAGCACACCGGCAACAAAAACAAGGGCAAACGGAAACACAUGAAAAUACUCAACAUGAUUCCUCCCUCUCGUCCCAACGUGACGCGACUGUCCGACGAUUCGGUCAUGUUGCGCUGGUAUGUGCCAAAGAACGACGGGCUGCCCAUACAGUUUUUCAAGGUGCAGUAUCGCAUGCUCGGUGACUCGAGUCGCAAAAUACCGCGCGAAAAUUGGCAGACCACAAACGAAGACAUACCAUACGGCAAACGCGACCGUGUUUUUGAAGGCGUGAAGAAUUUCACCUCAUCGGUAUCCGGCUUGAAACCUGAUCGAUUCUACCGUUUCCGCAUCAUCGCUGUUUACUCGAACAACGACAAUAAGGAGGGCAACACCUCAGCGAAGUUCUUUUUGCAAAGUAGCGAAGCUUUAGGCCCCACCAAAGCCACUUUGCCCGCGCCAGAGCUGUUGCGCGUGGAACCGCUUUCAGAGACUGCAGUUAUGAUACAUUGGACGCUGCCGGCGAAUCCUAUAAACGUGCCGGAUGGUUUUUACGCCUACUACCGGCUCGCCUCUUCAGCGGGUGAAUACCUCAAAGCGACUGUAGACGGUCAACAUACACGGAAAUUUAAAAUCGACCUGUUGGAAGCGGGCACCGCCUACGAGUUCAAGCUGCAGUCCUUUAAUGCACUGGCUGCGUCUGAGUUCAGCGCCAUAUUGCAGGGCAAAACGAAGAAAGUGGCAACCACACCAAUGCCUGUGCCAGCAGUCACGCCUAUAAACACCAAGGAGCACGACAAGCCGAAAUAUCCGAUAGUGGCGGGCAUCGCCGGCUGCGGUAUACUCCUCAUCGUAGCCAUAGUCGCUGCCUUCCUGUGCAUGAAGCGACGCAGCCCGGCGACACCAGAAGAUGAAGACAAACCACAGCUAGACCACAUACAGGCCGAUUUUGUGACACCCUCAGUGCUGGGCGUGGCGGCGCAUCACAAGUCCGGUCACCGUCUCAACGGCGUCAUACCGCGCAUGAACAUCACGCCCAAUCCGUUGGCGCAGGAAGCCGACAAGAAUCGCAACAACGUGAUGGAGCUGCGCUUCCUGCCCAACAGCAACAGCAACAGCAGCCACACGGGUUCAAGUCCCAACAAUUCAGCCAGUGCCAGCAAUUUAAACACGACCCGUCCGCAUACCAGCAGCAGCCAUAGUUUACACCAGCAACAAACUGUCGCCACCAAUGCGGACGAAGCCGAGCCGUACACACCGCCACCGCGCUCCUCUUCCUCCUGUGAGACGCUCGAAGCCAGCGAGGGCAUCUUUAGUGCAAACGACGCCACUUCGCCACUGUCGAAGCCGUUGCCGCCGCUGCCGAACCAGAAGCCUCAUACACACCACAACCAACAGCCGCAGCUGCAGCCGCACCACCAACCGUCGCAUACAACCCUACCGAAAAUGACCAGUAAUAAAGCUCAAGCAGGCACCGCGCCAAACGCAGUAAUAACAAAUGCAAAUCAUGCCACUGCUCAUUACAAUCACAACACCAAUGCCAUGCAUUUGCACACGAAAUCGAGCUCGUCUCAUUCAUCCACCUCAUCCUUUCAAUCUUUACAUAAUUCACAGGCACAUCUGGGCUCGCAUCAGGGCCUACACCACGCACAGCCAUACCAUCCACCGCCGCCCGGCACGCCCACACUAAUGCACAAACGCGGCGACUACAUGCCACACCAUCAUCAUCAUGCCAACGCAUCGUCUGCCGGCCAACAUCCGCCGCCGGUGCCACCACACCAGAACAACAACCACAGCGGCCACCACAACGCGCACCAUCUGUACCAGCAACACCAGCAGCAGCAUGCGCAGGCGCAAUCGCCGCAGACGCCCGCCAUGGAGCAACAGCGCCGCACACUGGAGCGCAGUGCGCGCAAUCUGCACUACACGGCGACCGCGGUGCCGGCGAACGCGACGCAGCCACACGACGCGGCCAUGAACAUCGAUGGCCUGCCCACGCGCAUACCGUCGCUGCGCCGCACACGACGCUCCUCCGGCAACACCAACAACAACAACGGCGGCGUAGGCAUACCCAUCGUGCCGGGUAGUCCGCGCGUGCAGCGCUCGCCGAUGCCGGCGCGCGCCAUGAUGAAGCGCGGUCGGCUGGGCAGCCACAACGACAACAUGUCCUCGGGCAGUUUGAACAGUAUUGAGGUGUAGGCAGCAAACAGGUAUUGGGAAUGCGUGCGCUUCGCAUAAGUAGUGUUAAGCUCUAGUAUAGUAGGGGAGGCUAGCAAGUAUGCAACUAUCUAGACACAGACAUAGGUCUAGGGAGUACAACGGUACUUCAGUGGGUAUUGUUUAAAUUGUUUAAAAUUAAAAUUCGUUAUAUAACUAAGAAUAAGUCAACUGAAUGCAGUCUUGAUUGACUUAAAUUGUAAAUAUUUAUUGCUAGAACUGCAUCAGACUUUUCUAGACCAGUCUAGGAAACAGUUAGAACUAAGACAAAAUGUAUGGCAUAGUUUUAAGUAAUAUCUCGAAUAUGCAAGUAAGUAACUCGAAAAACUCGAUUAUCUGCAUACUUUUAGGCUGAGUUCCUUAUAGUGCCUUGUUAUGUAACACUUAGUAAUACCACAUAAAGACUUAACGGAACUAACUCCAAUGACAGUUGUAGUUGUAUUAGCUUUGAAUACGAAAUGACAUCCACUAGUAAUAUGACUAACUUAAACUAACUAAUUAGUUUGGCGUUAACUCCGUCCUGCAGGGCUAACAAGAAGUAAGAUAAAAUAUAUUGAAAAAAAAUAAAAGACUUAGAAACCGCUAUUUGUGAGUCUAUCAGCAUGAAGGUUGAUUCAAAAAAUAUUUUUUUUGAAAAAGCGCCUAAAAAUAUGCAACUUUCAAAAUUGUACUGUUGACUUAGUUUUGAGUUUUCGAAGUUUACAGUUUGACUAAAUAGCUUUUUUAUUGUUUUAAAUUAUUUAAAAUAUAAUUUUCGUGCUUCCUACAGUUUUUGACUGCACUUUAUUUGUACGUUACUGUACAUUUUUAGUAUUCGUUUAUAAGUUCAAUAUUACAUACAUUUAAUUUAUUAAAAAUCGACCUUAAUUGCCUUACCUUUAUUUGACUAAAUGUUAAUCGUAAUUUU